rnacentral:rRNA from 1 species
AUUGAACGCUGGCGGCAUGCCUUACACAUGCAAGUCGAACGGCAGCACGGGAGCAAUCCUGGUGGCGAGUGGCGAACGGGUGAGUAAUAUAUCGGAACGUGCCCGGUCGUGGGGAUAACGUAGCGAAAGCUACGCUAAUACCGCAUACGAUCUACGGAUGAAAGCGGGGGAUCGCAAGACCUCGCGCGAUUGGAGCGGCCGAUAUCAGAUUAGGUAGUUGGUGAGGUAAAGGCUCACCAAGCCGACGAUCUGUAGCUGGUCUGAGAGGACGACCAGCCACACUGGGACUGAGACACGGCCCAGACUCCUACGGGAGGCAGCAGUGGGAAUUUUGGACAAUGGACGCAAGUCUGAUCCAGCCAUUCCGCGUGCAGGAUGAAGGCCCUCGGGUUGUAAACUGCUUUUGUACGGAACGAAAGGUUUCUAUUAAUACUAGG